AUGUUGUCAGCUCUGGCUGGAGGCAAAGGUUUGGCAAUUUUGGACUGGAAUUGACAAGAAGAUGUUCCAGCUUCUAAUUCCCCUGCUUUUGGCACUCAAGGGACAUGCCCAGGACAAUCCAGAAAACGUACAAUGUGGCCACAGGCCUGCUUUUCCAAACUCGUCAUGGUUACCAUUUCAUGAACGGCUUCAAGUCCAGAAUGAGUAGAAUCCUGUUUCCUUCUGAAGCCCUUCCUAAUUGAUAUACUUAGGGCAGGGCCCAGGAGAAGGUUCUUUCAGAGCAUGGCUUCAGCCUGGUUACUUCUGACACCAGCCAGGAGGAACAGACUUCUUCCCCAUACAGCAGGUACCACCAGAAGUACCUGAGCAAGAUCACCCUCAGCUCCUGCAGCCUCAGGGCACCGGAGUGUCCUGUCCACGGGGCAUUUGUUACGGACAAAGAUUUGUGUGGCCUUUCACUUUGCACGCUGAAGCUUAACCCUGGCUGCAACGGGACGGGGGGCCACCAAGGAAGUCAUUAAGGUUAACUAAGGUAUAGGGUGGUGCCCUGGUUGACAGGAUGGUGGCCUUAUGAGGA
rnacentral:lncRNA from 1 species